ensembl:lncRNA CELF2-DT CELF2 divergent transript
CCCAGCACUUUGGGAGGCCGAGGCACGCAGAUCAUGAGGUCAGGAGUUCGAGACUAGCCUGGCCAACAUAGUGAAACCCCAUCUCUACUAAAAAGAAAAGAAAAUGCUUCACUCUAGAAUUUUGAUGAGAAGAAGCUAGAGUCAUCCUAACAAGAGUGAUAGUCUUUCCCCAAGUGAGACCAGGCUGUGCUGUCUGGGGAAAAGCAUUGCUGGCCUUGUCGAGAUGCACCGACGACUCAGCUCAGCUAAGGACUUAACCAGUACAGGACUUGCUGCAGCGGAGCCUGAGCUGGAUAUGGAAAGCAAAAGAAGCAAGAUCUCCCUAUGUUGCCAAGGUUGGUCUGGAACUCCUGAGCUCAAGUGAUCCUCCUGCCUCAGCCUCCUAAAGUGUUAGAAUUAUUGAUGUGAGCCACUGCAUGUGGUCAAUUCUGUCAUUCUUGACAACAAGGAUGAAGCUGGGAGAUACUGUGCUGAGUAGAAUAAACCAAGCACAAAAAGACAAGUGCCUCAUGAGCUCACUUAUAUGUAGAAUCUGUAACAGUCGAACUCAUCAGAGAGCAGAAUAAUGGUUACCAGGGACUAGCAGUAGGCUGGAGGGAGAGGUGGGGAGGUGUCGGUGAAAUAAUAUAAAAUUUCAGUUAGAAAAAAUAAGAUUUAAGAGAUCUAUUGCACAACAUGGUGACUAUAGUUAUUAACACUGUAUUAUAUUCUUGAAAAUCACUAAGAUUUUAAUAUUCUCACCACAAAAAAUAAG